GACGAACGCUGGCGGCGGGCUUAACACAUGCCAGUCGAACGGAAAGGCCCUGCUUUUGUGGGGUGCUCGAGUGGCGAACGGGUGAGUAACACGUGAGUAACCUGCCCUUUACUUUGUGAUAACUUCAGGAAACUGGGGCUAAUACCGGAUAGGAGCUCCUGCUGCAUGGGGGGGGUUGGACAUUUUCGGCUGUUGUGGAUGGACUCGGGGCUUAUCAGCUGGUUGGUGGGGGAGUGGCUUACCAAGGCUUUGGCGGGUAGCCCGCACGGGAGGGUGAACGGCGACAUGGGGCCUGCGAUACGGCCCAGACUCCUACGGGAGGCAGCAGUGGGGAGUAUUGCACAAUGGGCGGAAGCGUGAUGCAGCAACGCCGCGUGCGGGAUGACGGCCUUCGGGUUGUAAACCGCUUUAGCCUGUGACGAAGCGUGAGUGACGGUAAUGGGUAAAGAAGCACCGGCUAACUACGUG
rnacentral:rRNA from 1 species